UGGUUGUCGUCAGCUCGUGUCGUGAGAUGUUGGUUAAGUCCGCAACGAGCGCAACCCUUAUUGCUAGUUACCAUCAUUAAGUUGGGGGACUCUAGCGAGACUGCCAGUGAUAAACUGGAGGAAGGUGGGGAUGACGUCAAAUCAUCAUGCCCCUUAUGACCUGGGCUACAAACGUGAUACAAUGGCUGAAACAAAGGGCAGCGAAGGAGCGAUCUGGAGCGAAACCCAAAAAAGCAGUCUCAGUUCGGAUUGUAGGCUGCAACUCGCCUACAUGAAGUCGGAAUCGCUAGUAAUCGCGGAUCAGCACGCCGCGGUGAAUACGUUCCCGGGCCUU
rnacentral:rRNA from 1 species